AUCUGCUUCUACAACAGUCAUAUUAUGUCCCUCAAUUUGGAAACUAAGGGCUGAUAAGGCUGUCAAGCUAGAAACCCUGAGCCUAUAUGUCUUUCCAGGGACAAUCGUCAUCGCAUAAGGAGAGCAUUCAGGAUUUGAAGCAUUGCAAACACCAGCUGGUAUGCCUGGAGUUGAGCAGUCGAAUUUUCCUUUUCCUUGUAUCAAGAGUGAGUGAGGCUCCCCAACCCAAACAAAGGGAUUAGAAGAUAAUCCUACUGAUUGUUCGUAAGUGCUAUUAUGGUACCAAUCAGUAAGGAUGAUACUUCGAUCAUAAUCAUACGCAAAAGGCUCAGAUUCUCCGUCAGGUAGUGAUACACGG
rnacentral:misc_RNA from 1 species